GUGGACCUCAGACUUGAUGGCUGAUGCCCUUGCCGCCAUAUUGUAAUGAGGCAAAUCAAGGAUACCUCCUUCAAGGAAAAAUGGGAAGACAAGAGAGAGACUGCACCCCUAGAUCCCAUAUCUCCAGACUUUCUUUGCAUGAGUGCAAAUAGUUAUGAUCUCUGACAGAGUAAGUAAGCCAUAGGUGCAAAGGGAAUUAUGAAUAUAUGAAUAAAUUCCAGUAGAUGAAAAAAAAAUGAACCCCAAUAUUAUGUAUAACUAUAACGUGCCAAAGAAUGUAUUUUUAAACAGAUAAAAAUGCUUUAUCAAAAGUAUAUAAUAGCAUAAACUUACUAAAAUAAAUUAUAUAUUUUUACAAUUAAAAAAAAAAAAGAAAACAAGACAGGUAAGAGAAAAAAGCGAUGUAGAGUCCAAAUCCAACUGUGCAUGAUGUUUGAUGGAGCCAGUCGCUGUGGAAAGGGCAUGUUUUCUGGGGUGCCGAGGAAAUGCCAUUAUCAGUGUAAAACAAACACGAGGGACUUGGUCUGGGCCUGGAGAUCCCUCUGAGUCUGGUGGCCAAGGGACCUGGUGGCAGGGCCUGCAGUGGAGAUGCCCUUUUUCUUUUUCUUCCCCAGAGCAGCAAUGCAGACAUUCCCAGCUGCAGUGGGACUUUCACUUGGUCGGACACUCUGACGUCCUGGAGGCCUGGCAGGGGCAAGGCAAGCACCACACAGCUGGAUGGGGUGGGAAGGAGCCCAAAGCAAACUGCACAGAAGACUCUGCUCAUGCGGCCUUGGCAGACCCCAGAGAGACCAAAAGGCUUCCAUUUUGAGUGUCUGAGGGGAGGAUCAUACAUACAAGGACCCUGCACCCCUACUUGUUCUUCUGACUUCCGAGUUGGGGUUUGGAUAGGUAUGAAGGCAGAAUUAGAUAGACAGUCAGUAUGGAUAGGUAAAUUGAGUCAGAUCAGAUCUAGGAGGCCAAUUUGAGUGAGUCCUGGAAGUUGGAGACUGUCCCCUGAAGGGAUUGAAAUGCCUUCAGAGCCCUUCCUCCACCCUAUCAAGAUAACAGCCUGGCUCCAACCUGUUGCCCAGGAAUUGCUCCUCCCUACAGAGAGUUCUAAAGUUGUUAAUUAAUGUGUCCUGGACUGCUCCCUCCUCCAGGGCUGCUCCAUCCUCCCAACCAGGCCCUUCACCCCAUCCAUCUGCCUCUCACCUUUUGGCCAUCCCAUCGAGCAUCUCCUGGGCCUGGUCAGGACCAGGAAGGAAAGAGAUAAGGAGAAGAGAGCAGGAGAACAAAGGAAGCCUAAGAUAUAUUUAAAAAGGCAGAAGGCCUUGCUUCUUGGGAUACCAGGAUACCAGCUAUGGCCCCCUUCUCCCUCCCUGGAGAAACCUGUGUUACCCCUUUUUAAAUAAACCCUGCUUCACAUGCUUCACGUGCUUCUCUAAUGUUAUACUUCAUCAUGUGAAGGAGCAGAAUUCAUCACGGAAAACGAGGGGUAUCAGGUGUAUGAGAGAUUCUCUCGGCCAUUUUUUAAAUGAUUAGGCACCAAAUUACACUCAGUUUAAAAUAUCCUGCAAGCCACAUCCAUUGCAGCCAUGCACACUGCUGUGGCGAACCCCUUACAGGGAACAUUGCCAAAUCCAGUAUUGUUUUGUUUUGUUUAAUUUUUUUUUUUGUGGUUG
rnacentral:lncRNA from 1 species